rnacentral:lncRNA from 1 species
UGGUCACUUGAGAAGUGCAUUAGUGAGUCGAAAAUGUUUUAAGUGUAGUUACUUGAAAGGUGGACUUAUGUUUUGAAUUUAGUUAAGUGUGGUCACUUGAGAAGUGAAUAAGUACAUGAAAAUGUUUAAGUGUAGGUAGUUGAAAUGUGGACUUGUGUUUUGAAUAUAGUUAAGUGUGGUCACUUGAGAAGUGAGUGUAGUCACUUGAGAAGUGCAUUAGUGAGUCGUAAAUGUUUAAGUGUAGUUACUUGAAAGGUGGA